UGUUAAAAAAUUAUCUAUUUUUAUUGUUAAAAACCGGUGUAGCUAAUAGAAUAACCAAACAAUUACUUGUGAUGUACUACAUGUACCUCAUUUUAACAAUAGAAAUAGAUGAAACUUUUAAAUA
rfam:Gossypium arboreum cultivar AKA8401 contig_4478_1, whole genome shotgun sequence.